GAUGAACGCUGGCGGCGUGCUUAACACAUGCAAGUCGAACGGGAACCCUUUAAUUGCUGCUUCUGCAGAUUUAGCUGGUUUCUAGUGGCGGACGGGAGAGUAACGCCUGGGUAACCUGCCCUAUUCAGGGGGAUAAAAACAAGAAAUGGUUGCUAAUACCGCAUAAGUGAACAGGGCCGCAUGGUCCGGCGUGCAAAACUCCGGUGGCAUAGGAUGGAUUCGCGUUGGAUUAGCCAGUGGGCAGGGUAACGGCGUACCACAGGGACGAUCCAUAGCCGGGAUGAGAGACUGAACCCCCACAUUGGGACUAGGACACAGCCCAGACUCCUGCGGGAUGGAGGAGAGGGUGAUAUAGCACUAUGGGGUAAGCCAUGAUGCAGCGACGCCGCGAGAAGGAAGAAGUAUCUCGAGAAGUGAAGUUCUAUCAGCAGGGAAGAUAGUGACGGUACCUGACGAAGAAGCCCCGGCUAACUACGUG
rnacentral:rRNA from 1 species